UUUGGGAUGAGGCCCGCGGCCUAUCAGCUUGUUGGUGGGGUAAUGGCCUACCAAGGCGACGACGGGUAGCCGGCCUGAGAGGGCGACCGGCCACACUGGGACUGAGACACGGCCCAGACUCCUACGGGAGGCAGCAGUGGGGAAUAUUGCACAAUGGGCGCAAGCCUGAUGCAGCGACGCCGCGUGAGGGAUGACGGCCUUCGGGUUGUAAACCUCUUUCACCACGGGACGAAGCGAAAGUGACGGUACUCAGAUGUAUGUCCUCCC
rnacentral:rRNA from 1 species